rnacentral:rRNA from 1 species
ACGGGAAAAGGGAAAAGGGACGUUAGUGGCGGACGGGUGAGUAACGCGUGGGUAACCGUGGCCCAUACAGGGGGAGUAACACUUAGAAAUAGGUGCUAAUACCGCAUAACAACAGAAAGCGCAUGCUUUUUGUUUGAAAACCAAGGUGGUAUGGGAUGGACCCGCGUCUGAUUAGCUGGUUGGCGGGGUAAAGGCCCACCAAGGCGACGAUCAGUAGCCGGCCUGAGAGGGUGGACGGCCACAUUGGGACUGAGACACGGCCCAAACUCCUACGGAAGGCAGCAG